GCCGCAGGGGGAGAUGGCUGUUGUGUCUCUGCUCCCCCUCACUCACGCGCCGCACAGUGAGGCUAGGAGCCGGAAUAUGACGUCUCUUUAAGCGGCGCGCAGGGGAGGGGGAGCAGAGACACAACAGCUAGCUCC